rnacentral:tRNA from 1 species
GGGACUGUAGCUCAGUGGUUGAGUGCUUGCCUUGCAUGCGUGAGGCACUGGGUUCAAUCCUCAGCACCA